CUGAACAACCGUAGAAGUAGGGCUACCCCUGGCUUUACUGAAUUAACUAGCUGUGUCUGCUGUCUAGUUGGACCAGAUUUAGCUAGAUAAUGGGGUAGAGAAUAGUUGAGCGGUGCUGUGUGUAGCUUGAACUGUACUGGCUGGCAAGAAUCUAGUAAGCACCCUAUGCACUGAUAACUCGUCAGAAUGGAGGGUAUGUUCUAGGGAUCUGGACAGCUGUACAUCCAAAGGAGCCAGGGAGUGCCAAUCAUCUUCUCCCAGUCUCUGACACGCUAAACAAAAGGAGCUAGAACUGGGAGUCCCAGCUAGAAUUGCUAGCCGGAUCUAGACUAAUAGAAUGACUUGGAGGCGUGGUGAGGCCGGAUCCACACUAAUUGAUCGACCUAAAGACGCUCCUGUUCCAGAUUUCACGAAUGGCAAGGAAAGGGUUAUUUUUCAAAACUUUUGAAUCCAAAUGGAGCUGAUUGGACUCCUUGACACUGUCAGCGAGCUUGAGCACACUGUCAGAGAGCUUGAGGAGGACCAGGAAGUCUGUUAUGACCAUGACGAGCCCAGUGAUGACGAUUUUGAGACAGAUCUGGAGAGUGAUUCAGAUGCUGCAGUGGAGGAUGAUGACGAAAUGGUCGAUGGCAUGGCUCCGACUCCCAAACGGAGGAAGCUGGCGAGGGACAAUGGACUCCAAAAAGCUAAGUCCACAGGAAGAUACCCCGUCUUUGGCGGUGUGGUCGGUCCUGUCGAUCAACUUGAUCCGUCUGUAACUCCAUGCCUAGAUUUUGUUAAGUUACUUUGGCCCGAUAGUUUGUGUGAGUACAUAGCCGAACAGACCAACCUGUACGCUAGGCAGUGUGGUGCUAAGGGUUGGUCAGCUACAAACAGUGCCGAAUUGUGGGUGUUUUUGGGGAUUGUACUAGAGAUGGGCAUUCAUAGGCUCCCUGAAAUUACGGACUACUGGUCCAAGGAUCCCCUUUUAGGUGUACAAUGUGUGAGCAAUGUAAUGUCGCUCAAAAGGUUCCAAAGUUUAUGGCGGUAUCUGCACUGUGAGGACAAUACGUCCAUCACUGAUGCACGUAAGGUAACUAGCAAGCUAAAAACUGUUUUAGAGACUCUUAAAGCCAACUACUUCAUGAGGUAUAAUCCCAGUCAGGAGCUUUCCGUUGAUGAGAUGAUGAUAAAGUACAAGGGUCGUAAAAGCGGGAAAAUUCAUAUGCCCAAGAAGCCUGUUAAACUGGGGUUCAAGGUAUGGUGCUGCUCAUGUUCAUGCUGUGGGUAUCUCUGUGUGUUUGAUGUAUACAGUGGUAAGCUCACCGAUUCCUCUGGGAAAAAGAUAGCUGUGAAAGGGCUUGUGAAAAAUGUAGUCCAUCGUUUACUCACUCCUUUUUAUGGUCAUCAGCAUGUUGUGUACAUGGACAACUUUUACACGUCCGGUCCAUUGAUAGAAGAGUUGGCUAAGCAAAAUGUGUUUACUGUCGGCACAAUUUUGAAGAAUGCUGCUGGUUUCCCAGCAAGUCUUAAGGAUGUGGUACUCGACAAAGGUGACUAUACGUCCAUGACUGUUGGUGAUAUUUCUUACUCUAUGUUUAACGACCGUAGAGUUGUGUCCUUUGCAACAAAUGUGUUCCCUGACCAUAUGCCCCACACUGUAAUGCGAAUGCACAAAGACGGUACCCUACGCUCUCAGAGUGUCCCCCCUGUCUCCCUGCAUAUAACAUGUACAUGGGAGGAGUUGACAAUACAGGGCGUAUGAGGAAAACCUAUGGGUACGAUAGAAAGUGUCGGCGGUAUUGGUUCAGGAUUUUCUUUCAAUUCCUUGACGUUAGUGUGAAUAAUGCAUACAUUCUAUACAGGCACAACUGUGUCAGGGUGGGUUCAAAGGCCAUGCCUUUGAAAGGGUUUCGAUUGGAACUAAUUCAUAGUCUAUUGGGUGUGCCACGUACUCGUAGCAGUGCCUCAGGUCUGGCCAGUCUAAAUAUCGUUUUCCCCCCAUCACAGGGCGCACGUGUGAGUGCAAAUAGUGUCGGAGUGUCUCGUGGGCGCUGUCAAGUGUGUGUUCGGGAGAAGAUCCCUAGCAGAGAGCAGCAACACACUGCAAUGGCAUGUCCCCACUGUCGCAUAAGAAUAUGCAAAGGACACUCUGUUAUCGGACACACAUGUGCUAGCUAAUGUGCUGUGUGACUGAUUUUUGUUAGAUGGUACUCUCCUGGUCUAAAUUGGCCUUGGAGAGGGGAGGAAAGGGGUAUUAUUUCAAUGAUUAAUAAAAUUGUGAUAAAGAAUUCAGUUGUAUAUGAUAGGCCCUAACCCACUCUGUUGUAAAUUCUGUUGUAAUUAUCUCUUUCCUUGGCAAUCUGUUGUAGAAAUUACAACAAUGGGUAAGGAAUCGUUAUGAUGAAUUAGAUGAAGUUGUAUGUGAGCUCCUCCCUGACAAACAAACUGUAGUCUAGGUAACCGCCUUAUCAGUCAAGUAGGCUAAAAAUCUGUGUCCUUUGAUGUAAGCUUUGAUGUCUCUUUGUGCAUAUGUAGUUAUAAAAAAAAAAAAAAAAAAAAAAGAAACCUUUGACUAGCUAGGAAGAGUAGCAGCAGUAGGCAGCAGUAGUAGUAGCAGUGCAAGCAGGACUAGACUAGAUUAAAAAGUUGGUGGAAAGAAUAACUGACCGUUUGGACGUCACCUGGCUGCCAGACUUUCAUCUGGACUCUUCCCCCUGAGUAGCUGGCCUUUCUCUAAGCCACAAAACUGAGCAAGAAGCUGAAGAAGCAGCUAGACAGAGACAUGUACCUAGCCUUGAGAAUUGGGAGGCGUGGCUCAACUAGUUAGCCCAGCCCAGAGGAAUUGUUACCGUGGGUACUGAACAACCGUAGAAGUAGGGCUACCCCUGGCUUUACUGAAUUAACUAGCUGUGUCUGCUGUCUAGUUGGACCAGAUUUAGCUAGAUAAUGGGGUAGAGAAUAGUUGAGCGGUGCUGUGUGUAGCUUGAACUGUACUGGCUGGCAAGAAUCUAGUAAGCACCCUAUGCACUGAUAACUCGUCAGAAUGGAGGGUAUGUUCUAGGGAUCUGGACAGCUGUACAUCCAAAGGAGCCAGGGAGUGCCAAUCAUCUUCUCCCAGUCUCUGACACGCUAAACAAAAGGAGCUAGAACUGGGAGUCCCAGCUAGAAUUGCUAGCCGGAUCUAGACUAAUAGAAUGACUUGGAGGCGUGGUGAGGCCGGAUCCACACUAAUUGAUCGACCUAAAGACGCUCCUGUUCCAGAUUUCACGAAUGGCAAGGAAAGGGUUAUUUUUCAAAACUUUUGAAUCCAAAUGGAGCUGAUUGGACUCCUUGACACUGUCAGCGAGCUUGAGCACACUGUCAGAGAGCUUGAGGAGGACCAGGAAGUCUGUUAUGACCAUGACGAGCCCAGUGAUGACGAUUUUGAGACAGAUCUGGAGAGUGAUUCAGAUGCUGCAGUGGAGGAUGAUGACGAAAUGGUCGAUGGCAUGGCUCCGACUCCCAAACGGAGGAAGCUGGCGAGGGACAAUGGACUCCAAAAAGCUAAGUCCACAGGAAGAUACCCCGUCUUUGGCGGUGUGGUCGGUCCUGUCGAUCAACUUGAUCCGUCUGUAACUCCAUGCCUAGAUUUUGUUAAGUUACUUUGGCCCGAUAGUUUGUGUGAGUACAUAGCCGAACAGACCAACCUGUACGCUAGGCAGUGUGGUGCUAAGGGUUGGUCAGCUACAAACAGUGCCGAAUUGUGGGUGUUUUUGGGGAUUGUACUAGAGAUGGGCAUUCAUAGGCUCCCUGAAAUUACGGACUACUGGUCCAAGGAUCCCCUUUUAGGUGUACAAUGUGUGAGCAAUGUAAUGUCGCUCAAAAGGUUCCAAAGUUUAUGGCGGUAUCUGCACUGUGAGGACAAUACGUCCAUCACUGAUGCACGUAAGGUAACUAGCAAGCUAAAAACUGUUUUAGAGACUCUUAAAGCCAACUACUUCAUGAGGUAUAAUCCCAGUCAGGAGCUUUCCGUUGAUGAGAUGAUGAUAAAGUACAAGGGUCGUAAAAGCGGGAAAAUUCAUAUGCCCAAGAAGCCUGUUAAACUGGGGUUCAAGGUAUGGUGCUGCUCAUGUUCAUGCUGUGGGUAUCUCUGUGUGUUUGAUGUAUACAGUGGUAAGCUCACCGAUUCCUCUGGGAAAAAGAUAGCUGUGAAAGGGCUUGUGAAAAAUGUAGUCCAUCGUUUACUCACUCCUUUUUAUGGUCAUCAGCAUGUUGUGUACAUGGACAACUUUUACACGUCCGGUCCAUUGAUAGAAGAGUUGGCUAAGCAAAAUGUGUUUACUGUCGGCACAAUUUUGAAGAAUGCUGCUGGUUUCCCAGCAAGUCUUAAGGAUGUGGUACUCGACAAAGGUGACUAUACGUCCAUGACUGUUGGUGAUAUUUCUUACUCUAUGUUUAACGACCGUAGAGUUGUGUCCUUUGCAACAAAUGUGUUCCCUGACCAUAUGCCCCACACUGUAAUGCGAAUGCACAAAGACGGUACCCUACGCUCUCAGAGUGUCCCCCCUGUCUCCCUGCAUAUAACAUGUACAUGGGAGGAGUUGACAAUACAGGGCGUAUGAGGAAAACCUAUGGGUACGAUAGAAAGUGUCGGCGGUAUUGGUUCAGGAUUUUCUUUCAAUUCCUUGACGUUAGUGUGAAUAAUGCAUACAUUCUAUACAGGCACAACUGUGUCAGGGUGGGUUCAAAGGCCAUGCCUUUGAAAGGGUUUCGAUUGGAACUAAUUCAUAGUCUAUUGGGUGUGCCACGUACUCGUAGCAGUGCCUCAGGUCUGGCCAGUCUAAAUAUCGUUUUCCCCCCAUCACAGGGCGCACGUGUGAGUGCAAAUAGUGUCGGAGUGUCUCGUGGGCGCUGUCAAGUGUGUGUUCGGGAGAAGAUCCCUAGCAGAGAGCAGCAACACACUGCAAUGGCAUGUCCCCACUGUCGCAUAAGAAUAUGCAAAGGACACUCUGUUAUCGGACACACAUGUGCUAGCUAAUGUGCUGUGUGACUGAUUUUUGUUAGAUGGUACUCUCCUGGUCUAAAUUGGCCUUGGAGAGGGGAGGAAAGGGGUAUUAUUUCAAUGAUUAAUAAAAUUGUGAUAAAGAAUUCAGUUGUAUAUGAGAGGCCCUAACCCACUCUGUUGUAAAUUCUGUUGUAAUUAUCUCUUUCCUUGGCAAUCUGUUGUAGAAAUUACAACAAUGGGUAAGGAAUCGUUAUGAUGAAUUAGAUGAAGUUGUAUGUGAGCUCCUCCCUGACAAACAAACUGUAGUCUAGGUAACCGCCUUAUCAGUCAAGUAGGCUAAAAAUCUGUGUCCUUUGAUGUAAGCUUUGAUGUCUCUUUGUGCAUAUGUAGUUAUAAAAAAAAAAAAAAAAAAAAAAGAAAC